rnacentral:rRNA from 1 species
CCUACGCGAGUCAGCAGUGGGGAAUCUUGCACAAUGGGGGGAACCCUGAUGCAGCGACGCCGCGUGGGUGAAGGAGUACUUCGGUACGUAAAGCCCUAUCAGCAGGAAAGAAAAUGACGGUACCUGACUAAGACGCCCCGGCUAACUCCGUGCCAGCAGCCGCGGUAAUACGUAGGGUGCCAGCGUUAUCCGGAUUUACUGGGUUUAAAGGGAGCGUAGACGGGAGUGCAAGUCAGUAGUGAAAGCCCGGGGCUCAACCGUAGGACUGCCAUUGAGACUGGAAAUCUGGAGUACGGAUGGGGCAGGCGGAAUUCGUGGUGUAGCGGUGAAAUGCGUAGAUAUCAGGAAGAACACCGAUUGCGAAGGCAGCCUGCUGAACCGCAACUGACGUUGAGGCUCGAAAGUGUGGGGAGCAAACAGGAUUAGAUACCCCAGUAGUC